UACAGAGGGUGCUAGCGUUGUUCGGAAUGACUGGGCGUAAAGGGCGCGUAGGCGGUUUACCAAGUCAGAUGUGAAAGCCCCGGGCUUAACCUGGGAACUGCAUUUGAUACUGGUUGACUGGAGUACGAGAGAGGAAAGUGGAAUUCCUAGUGUAGAGGUGAAAUUCGUAGAUAUUAGGAGGAACACCAGAGGCGAAGGCGGCUUUCUGGCUCGUAACUGACGCUGAGGCGCGAAAGCGUGGGGAGCAAACAGG
rnacentral:rRNA from 1 species